GACCGAAGUGUGAAAAAUAAUUAAUUAGUCAGCGCAACAAAGAUUGAUUUUCGAAUAUUUUUCGAAGUUGGUACGAGAUUCAAAAUUUUAAUUGGAUUUUAAUUUUUAAACUAUAAUUAAUAUACAUAUAUAGUUUUACGUGCCGCUUUUACGAGUAAAGAAAUUUCCUGAAGGUCAGAAAUAUGCAUUGGUAUUAUCUUCGGUUGAAUUGUUGAAUGUUGGAUAAAUCAAUAAUUCGAUAACUUUAAAACCGUGCUUUUAACCUUUCCGGCUGAUACGAUAUACAAUAUACAAUAUACCAAGCUCUAUUUGAUUUCACAACACGUGCGUACUCGUCGGAUCGUCGUUGUGAUCUUAUCACAUGGCCAGGAUAUAAACCCGUGCCGUUGGGCAAUAUAGUUCCCCACUUCACAUAUUUCCUUCAAUUUUUUAGCGGACGGAAAUUUAUUUGUGAGCACCGUUACAUGUGUGUUAUAUGUGUUACACAAAGCAGAUCUUGAUAUUAUAAGAUAGCUAUUUACAUGGAUUAUGACAAUCACAGAGAUCAAGUGGACAAAUUAGAAUGCUAUCAUACAAACUAGUAGCCUCUCUUGUAUAAAGUCAAACCAGAUAAAGUUCAGAUGAAAGCGAGAGCAAACCGGGAAAAGAACUCAAUUUGACACCUUAAUUAAAUAUAUAUUGUAUAUUGUAGCAAGUUUCUUCUUUUGCGCCCACCAAAUACUGUAGCAUAUUUUUUACGGUUAUUAACAUAAUCACCUCGAGCACAUGAUUUUUCAAAUAUUUUUAGCGCAAGCGGUAUGGAAACCCACUUAUGCUGAAACUUGUCUUGUAACAAAAAAAUGUUGCGUUAGAGAGCUCAAAUAUUCAUCCGAGCUUCGAUUAAAAUAACUUUCGUUUUUGGCCUAAUACAGAAUCCAACGAAAACGGCCUAUAUGAAUAAUAUAUGACGAUUAUAGUAUUGUCUCAUUAACAUAACCUAACCCUCACGACAUGUAUUGGAAAUGGACGUCAGCAUGUGCAACCGUGCCCAGCAGCCUACAUAUUUGCUAUGUAAAUACGUAGAAAAAAAACGAAAGCAGAAACAGACGCAGCGCUUGCCAUAGAUCGUCUUUGCAUCAGUUAAGAGAUCGCCAGACUGCGGAUACUGUGUGGUAGCAUUUGAGAAUCGAUCGCGACAGACAGACGGACACGAGCACUCAAACCUACUACACACUCUCGAACAUCGAAAGUUUUUUGGAAAGCGAAAUUGAUUAAAGCAAGUGGUGUGGGAAUACACAUGUGGAUGCAUGUGAAAUUUUGAAAUUUAUGGAACUUGGUUAAUAUCCAUAAAUAUGUGUAGUUCAUUAAUUCACAGCAUAAAUUACUUAAAAAUGCUAUGAACACAGAUUUAAAUAAAUUGAAAUUUUUCCCAAAAAGGUUACAUCUCCAAACUAACGAAAUAUGUAGGAGACCUUAAAGACGUUACUUGAGAAAGCUAUGAUCGGUUUGGCGCGUGCCUUUGAUACAACUCACUUUUGGUCGACUUUUUUUUUAACCAACCAGAGUAACUAGUCGGAAUAGUAAGGUAAGUAACUCCUUCG